AACGCACCUUGCGCUCCUUGGUAUUCCGAGGAGCAUGCCUGUUUGAGUGUCAUUAAAUUCUCAACCUCCCCAACUUUUGUUGUGUUGGAGGCUUGGAAGUGGGGGUUUGCAGGUCCGCACCCGUGGUCUGCUCCUCUGAAAUACAUUAGUGGGUUAGUCCCCUAAUCUAUUGGUGUGAUAAUUAUCUACGCCGUGGAUUGGGAUGGCUGUUGAAGACCUGCUUCUAACCGUCCUUCUUGGACAAUUCUUGACAAUUUUGGCCUCAAAUCAGGUAAGACUACCCGCUGAACUUAA
rnacentral:misc_RNA from 1 species